CCUACUGGUUAUCUCAGACAUCCCUUGUGUAACUCUGCAGUUUUCAUGGUGAACUGCCCGGCAAAGCUGAAGACUGCCAGGACUGGGAAAUCACAGCAGUUAAUUUCCAAAUGAAUUGGGCAAAAUAUCAGAAGAAAAAGGGUUUGGGAUAAAAUUACCAAAAACACCUAAAUUGCUUAGGAAGCCUCAUUCAUAAGGUAUUGAAAAAAUCUCUGGGGUGGCCUCAGGUACUGAGGUGGGGGUUCCUCCAUGGGCUGAUGUUCUGAUGAACAACCCAUCAACGAUCUCAGCAGCUGGAUUAAUGCAGUGUCCCAUCAGCUAUGUUCAGCUAAGGUGGUCCAAAGCUGCCAGUCCAGGCUCCUUGUAGAUGUUGUGGAGGAAAUAAACAGCUGUGACUUCUCUCAGUGCCUCCUCACCUCCCCAGAGACUGGAUAGCCAGUGUGGCAGGGGAAGGGGUCAGAAGGGGAGGAGAAAUGUUCAUAAAGUGGUUUUUCUGUUUUAUUUAUUUAUUUAUUGGGGGAGGGGGUGGUGGUGGCAGUGUACGUGUGUGGUUUUUUUUUUUUAAUCUUCUUCCACUCUCCUGCACAAGCAGUCAGUCUGUCCUUCACUGGAGGGAAAAUGUUCCAUCUCUCAGAGGGUGUUUGAGGUUUCUGUUUGUUUGUUUAUUAAAAAAAGAAAGCAUCUGGCAUAUGUAUGCAAACAUUAAUGAGUCAUUUAAAAUAUUCUCAGCGCUGCACCAGUGAGAUUUCCAGCUAUAAGAAAAAAUAUGAUGGAAGGGAGCAGGCAGACCCCAAAGGACUGUUUUCCAAGCAUAGAAUGGGGCCUUUACUACAGAGAGGGGAACAAGAACUGAAGCAACUCCAGCACCCGGGACCUGUUUAAGAAAAAGCAAGAGGACCGUGCGUGAUCCAAGCUUUCAAAAUCCAUUAAACAAAUCCUCAGAAAUGGCGAAGCUGCCUUAGGCAUCGCCAGAGCCAUCAGAGAGGCUGGGGACUCGAAGUGUGCUAAAGUAAGAGCGUAACAUGACUGCUGGAGCUGGCAUUUCUAAAAAGUGCCUACAACUUUGCCACAUCUUUGCCACAGAAACCCAGAUAAAGGCCAAGCCCAAUCUGGCACUAAGAGCAGCAGAAUUUGCCCCACCAAAAGUGUCUGUACUUGCCUGAUUGCAAUGGUGAGAUAAAGAGCAGGGAAUGCUCUGAAAGACAUGCACUUCCAAGCCAUGGCUAAACCCCAUUCCUCAUAGCUAAGAGGAGCUUAGGGAUGCGUGUUUUGACUCUUUCCUGGUUAAAUAUUUGC